rnacentral:rRNA from 1 species
UACAGAGGUCUCAAGCGUUGUUCGGAUUCAUUGGGCGUAAAGGGUGCGUAGGCGGCGCGGUAAGUCGGGUGUGAAAUCUCGGAGCUUAACUCCGAAACUGCAUUCGAUACUGCCGUGCUUGAGGACUGGAGAGGAGACUGGAAUUUACGGUGUAGCGGUGAAAUGCGUAGAUAUCGUAAGGAAGACCAGUGGCGAAGGCGGGUCUCGUGGACAGUUCCUGACGCUGAGGCACGAAGGUCAGGGGGAGCAAACGGGG